rfam:Picea glauca, whole genome shotgun sequence.
GCGGGGAUAGCUCAGUUGGGAGAGCGUCAGACUGAAGAUCUCAAGGUCGCGUAUUCGAUCCACGCUCACCGCA